rnacentral:rRNA from 1 species
GCAGGUGCGAAAGCAGGUCAUAGUGAUCCGGUGGUUCUGAAUGGAAGGGCCAUCGCUCAACGGAUAAAAGGUACUCCGGGGAUAACAGGCUGAUACCGCCCAAGAGUUCAUAUCGACGGCGGUGUUUGGCACCUCGAUGUCGGCUCAUCACAUCCUGGGGCUGAAGUAGGUCCCAAGGGUAUGGCUGUUCGCCAUUUAAAGUGGUACGCGAGCUGGGUUUAGAACGUCGUGAGACAGUUCGGUCCCUAUCUGCCGUGGGCGCUGGAGAACUGAGGGGGGCUGCUCCUAGUACGAGAGGACCGGAGUGGACGCAUCACUGGUGUUCGGGUUGUCAUGCCAAUGGCACUGCCCGGUAGCUAAAUGCGGAAGAGAUAAGUGCUGAAAGCAUCUAAGCACGAAACUUGCCCCGAGAUG